CCAAUGCUAUUCACGAUACUUAGCAAAGGAACUCAACCCAUGUUGGGUUUUUCCUCAUUUUUUCUCUAAGACCAGCAGGCAGAAGGCUUGCAUGCCCAGCAUUCCAGCAACUCAUGAGGCCCGUGACCUCCACAUCUUUCUCAAUCACUGGCCUGGCCCCCGUCAGGUUCAAGAACUCAAAAGACAUAAGCCAUAUGGCUCACCUGACACUGCUUCCCAGCGUCUCAAUCUGCGGCCCCAGCAGCGCAAGUGAUGUGAAAAAUAAGUUAACACACAAAAUUAAACCCUCUUUUAUCAAUUGUAGCAAAGUAUGUAAGUAGGGAUCGUUCUAAACCGGGGAUUAUGAGGGAUUGCUAAACACUUGAAAACUGACUUAGAAAUGUAAAAGCAAAGUUUAAAACACUAGAUUAGACUCAAAGAAUGCAAAACUCACGUUUAAAAUACUAAAAUAAACCAAUAACUCAAAACAACAACUAAAAGACUCAAAACUGCCUUAAAAACACUUUCUGGGCAGUUUUGAACACAAAGCACCAAUUUGGACGAAUUUGGGUUUUAACUUGUACCAAAACACUUAAAACAUAAACCAACACACUUUCUAACUAAUCUAGGACUUCAAAAUAAAUGGGGAAUUGAUUUGGACGAAAAU
rnacentral:lncRNA from 1 species